CCGAGCUCCCGGCGGCCGGCGCUGCGGAUCUGGGGGGGCAGCCUGCUGUCCCCCGAGAGCCCACCCCCGGCUCUCCCGCGGCCCAGGUGCCGCCGCGCCCCGCCCCUCGCCCCGCCCCGCGCUCGGGGAGUCCCGCUUCCGGGCGCCUCUGGUGGCGGAGGGGGCGCUGCGGCACUGAACACGAGCGCUAGGGAAGGGGCAGGCGAACCUCCCCAAAGAGACUGGCGGAGCCCCUUAUCAUGCCCGCAGGAUCCCACCGUGCCUGGGAUCGGCCAGUCGCCCCCAAACGCAAGCAAGGGUGCACUCUUCAAAGGGAACAACUUUGGCAAUAGGACCAAAGGGGUACAGGACACUAGAGUCUCCAUCAGGAUGCGGGCACUCUGUGACACCACCCUGACAAACACAGGAGCCAGAUGACCUGGAAGGACAGUGCUAGAAGGGAUGCACCAUAUCAUCCACCUCCAAGAGCGCAGUGCGACUAUAAUUGCCCCCGGCAAGCCAGCCACAGAAUUCACAGUUGUCACAACAGAAGAAGAGCCAGGUGGCAUCUGGCUGCCGGUUACCUGUCCCGGAAGUGCCUGGUGGCGAUCAAGUUCCAGGAAAGGAAUGGAUCCCAGCAAGGAAACCGCAUCCCCCGCGCUCUCUCUCCUCCCUCCCGCCCUCCUCGGAACCCUCCCACCGCAGCCCAGUGAUUUUCCUGCCUCUUCACAAGGCGAUUUUAUUAAACAUCUCGAAAAAAUAUUCUCUCACUCCCUCUCUCUUUAUUUAUAAAAAUCAACUUAACACCCUGCUCCUUUGUUCUAUUUGGAUUCUAGAACAGCCUGGUGUAUAUUUAGCCGAAAUCCCGCUCCUUUCCCCACAGAUUCCGCUCAGCCCCGACUGCAGGGGCUGCGGGAGGAGGAGGAGAGACAGGGGCUGGGAGGCAGGGGGCUCGCAGGGUCAGUGCCCUGCAGGCCAGGAGAGCGUCCUUCCCUCGGUAUCCAGUGAUCCCGAGUCCAGGCUUGGCCACCUUCUCGGUCAUCCUGUCACUCUAUCCCAUUCAGAUGUCCUCAAAGAGAGACCAGACAGAGAGCAAAUGGAGCGGAGACCGGAGCCCUAAUCCGGAGCCAGGCUCUGAGCCGCAGCAAGUAGAAAGUGGGCCUGGGUUCAAGUCCAAACUCUCCUCACCCUGUCCCUGUUUGGAUGCUGAGGAGUGGGUGUCAGCACUUGAAGUGGCCAACCACAACCGGGGAUGUCCUAAGGAUGGGAGAGAGCACAAGGAACACAUGCUGUAACCAACUCACACUGCGGUUCUGGAGACAAAUGAGCAAGGGCCUCCCGGGACCUAAGGGGAAAGCAGGAAAUCCGGAAGUGGACGGAGCUGCGCUUGUCUGUAUGGAUACACAAGGAGCCCAGCCCAGAGCUAACAGCUGAGUGGUUUGUCCACCUCCCCACAAAGAGCACUGCACAGGAAGCCUUUCACGGCCAGCCUCUUCUAGUUUCCGGCUGUGUGGCCUGAGGUAAGGACUGCAGCUCUCUGACCCUUUCUCCCCACUUGUGUAAAAGGGAGCUGUGGUAAUAACUCUUCAGGGGCUAUGGUGAAGAAUAAAAGGGGAGAAUGUGUCUAAGAAAAACACUGAGUACCCAAAUGGUGGCACACACCUUUAAUCCCAGCAUUCCGGAGGCAGAGGCGGGUGGAUCUCUGAGUUCUGGGUCAGCCUGGUGGCUCAGAGAAGGCCUCCUAUCAUGUGAGCUACACUAAUCUAGACUUAGUGGUGGUACCCAGCACAUAGUAGGUACUCACCCAAUGCUGUAACAUUGAAAAAUGUGGUAAGGAAACACCAAUCAUAAUGACAUUGACGAGUCAACUCAUUUGGCUGUCACAACCACUAUAGGAGGUGGGUGUUAUAGCUGGGCGGUGGUGGCACAUGCUUUUUUUAAAAAAUGAUUUAUUUGCCGGGCGUUGGUGGCGCACGCCUUUAAUCCCAGCACUCGGGAGGCAGA